rnacentral:rRNA from 1 species
UACGGAGGGUGCGAGCGUUGUUCGGAAUCACUGGGCGUAAAGCGCGUGUAGGCGGCCCAUUAAGUCUGAUGUGAAAGCCCGGGGCUCACCCCCGGAAGUGCAUUGGAAACUGAUGGACUCGAGUCCCGGAGAGGAGAGUGGAAUUCCUGGUGUAGCGGUGAAAUGCGCAGAUAUCAGGAAGAACACCUAUGGCGAAGGCAGCUCUCUGGGACGGUACUGACGCUGAGACGCGAAAGCGUGGGGAGCGAACAGG